CAUAGCGACUAUCGUGGCAUAUCAAUAAGCGGAGGAAAAGAAACUAACAAGGAUUCCCCUAGUAACGGCGAGUGAAGCGGGAAGAGCUCAAAUUUGAAAUCUUAAAGGGUUUCCCUUUACGAAUUGUAGUUUAAAGAAGUGUUUUCUGUUAGAGAGGUGGUAAAAGUUCUUUGGAAUAGGACAUCAUAGAGGGUGAGAAUCCCGUAUUUGAUCACUUUCUACUAACGUUGUGAUACACUUUCAAAGAGUCGGAUUGUUUGGGAAUGCAGUCCAAAAUGGGUGGUAAAUUUCAUCUAAAGCUAAAUAUUGGCGAGAGACCGAUAGCGAACAAGUACCGUGAGGGAAAGAUGAAAAGAACUUUGAAAAGAGAGUUAAACAGUACGUGAAAUUGUCAAAAGGGAAGCGUUUGACACCAGUGUUGUUUUUCCGAAAAUCAAUUAUGAAUGGCUUGAUUUUAAGUUUCAUGACCUUAAAAGCUUGUUUCUUAUUUUUCAUGUCUUUCGUAAUGCACUUUUCGGUUAACAAGUCAACAUCAAUUUCUUUUGUUGUAAAAGGGUACGAGGAAGGUGGCUUUACUUUCGGAGUAAAGUGUUUAUAGCCUUGUACCUCUGCAAUCGGAGAGAUUGAGGUCUGCAGCGUAGAUCCUUCGGGGUUAGAUACAUUUGUGCUAAGUUAUAGCUUUUCAUAGACAACUUGUUGACUAUGUUAAGUCUUGUACUUACUCGCAGUAUGCUAUUUUACCUACGCUUAGGAUGUUGAAGAUAUGCGCGACACG
rnacentral:rRNA from 1 species